rnacentral:rRNA from 1 species
UACGUAGGGAGCAAGCGUUGUUCGGAUUUACUGGGCGUAAAGGGCGCGUAGGCGGCGCGGUAAGUCACUUGUGAAAUCUCUGAGCUUAACUCAGAACGGCCAAGUGAUACUGCAGUGCUAGAGUGCAGAAGGGGCAAUCGGAAUUCUUGGUGUAGCGGUGAAGUGCGUAGAUAUCAAGAGGAACACCUGAGGUGAAGACGGGUUGCUGGGCUGACACUGACGCUGAGUGCGCGAAAGCCAGGGGAGCAAACGGG